UAAAUCUAGAUCUCCAUUUGGCACACUCCACAAAGCCUUCUAAACAAUUCAGUGUGUUCACAUGAUGAGAUUUCCAUUACUUAUGUAUGAAGAAAAUCUGCCGUUUUCCAUGCACUGAGCCGGAGGCAGGGAGGGGGCAGAAUUAUUCAGCCUUAGUAAUAUUAGACCACGGCUCUUCCAUUUAUUUGAAAAUGGUCGUGUCGUGCUGAGGAGAAUAAUAGUUCAGAUCCUUCUCCUUCCUCCAAACAUUAUGUCAAAACUACAUUGAUCAAAAUAAAUAAAAUCUUGUAUCAUUGUGUCAAGGCUGUAAGAAGAUAGAGUAAGCCAGCAUAAACAUUAAAAAUGAGCAUGUUGGAGAGUGCCUUGAACUGUGAAUUCUAUACAUUUUUACCUCUCCCAAGGUUCUUGUUUUCUUCUAUUCUACUUACCAAGUUACAUGGAAAUUUUACACUUCUAUUGAAAUAAGCAGCACCUUUUCCCCAUUUUUUUCAAAAGGUACUAUUUCAAUAAAAAUUUUUGCAUUUACAAAGAAAGGGAAUAACUGGGCUGCAAUUCAGGUUAGUUUGUGAGUGUACCCCAGGUACUGAUCUGAAUUCUCUUGUUUGGAGGGAGCAUGUAUUCCUUGAAGACAGGUUAAGAAUCUAGUCUUUCCUCAAUGCCAGGACCCCCUGUGAAGUCUUAUUUACCUCAGUUCUUAAGGACAAACUGUAGUACUGCUGAAAAAUAACAUAUUUGUUAUCACUUGAGGAAAAGCCAUUUGAUAUAAUGAGCUAAGCAUAUUCACCUUUCAAUUAAUAUCAGCAAUAGCUACAGUGAGAUUUGAGUUUGGUGAUCUUGGAUACUUUUCUAACAAUAUUCAGAGACCAACACCCCCCCCCCCCUUGGAGGCUAAUGAUUUAAACUUGAACAAUCCGUCCUAGAAUGACAUUCCUGUGAAGUGGGAAAGAAUUCCCCUAUCUUACAGGUUUCUAGUUUGGGCACCUGAAAGUUGGGUUCCUGUUGAAGCUCUUCUCAAUGUGUUUCCUUACUUAAUUGCUGUCUGAUUCAGGGAGAUAAGAGAGGAAGAAAGCAACAAAAAGAAAAUAUUUGUCUUUUUAUGUAUACUAUAUGUACGUGGUAUAGCACAGUAUUUGCACAAGAUCUGGAGUAGACCUGGGUUUAAAUUUAUAAUCUCAUUUAAUAAUUAUCAUCAUAGUUAUAACAACAAUAACAACAAAUUCUUACUGCAUGCAUAAAAUGGCGGGCCUCAAGUUAAAUGCUUUCCAUGAAUUACUAUAUUUAAUUCUCACAAAACCCUGUCAUGUGUAUUUUGUCACUAUCCUCUUACAAAUGAGAGAACUAAGGCUCAGCAAAGUUACAAAACUUGCCCCCAAAUCACACAACUUUUGGGGAUUCAAAUUAGUUCUGUUUGAUCCCUAUACCCAUCAUCUUAACUAGAACAUUCCACUCCAUUCAUGAAGAAAUUAGGAACAUCCAUGCACACAAGAUGUGCUAAUAGAGGGGCAGGUACUGGAACUGCAGAGGCAUCAGGGAACUAGAGGGAGAGCUCUGUGUGCCCUUUGACAAGUUAUUACCUUCUCUGUGCCUCAGUUUUGUUAUCUGUACAAUGGGGAUAGUAAUAAAUUCUUGAAAAGCAAUUAGAACAAUGCCUGCCUCAGAGUAAACUCCGUAAAUACUAGUUAUCGUUGGAAUUGAGACAUCCUGACCUCUGUUGUCCUAUACUGUUUACUCCUUAGAACAGAUAGAUAUUAUAUGAGUGUAUGAUUCAGAGAUGUAUCACAACUUCUUAUACAUCAGAACAGUUUGGAGAACCUGAGGUUAUAUUAAGAUAGCAAUUUUUUUCUCUGUCACUAUCCAUAUUCUAUUUUAAAUUAUCUUAAUUCUCUCUUUUCUGCUAACUCCACUUCUUGAUCCUUAGGCACGUAUUUUGAGUUCUUGUUAGUUGCUUCAAAUCCCUGCUGUGAUGUUUGCUGAUGGCUAAAAUGUUAGAUGAUAAGGAACGUUAUAUUUUAAUGGCAGAUAUUUGAGAAAUUAAAACGCUUCCUGAUCCUAGGAAGGAAACUUUCUGCUGAUCAAGGGGAUGUAGGGGGUAGAUAUUUAGGGAUAUAGGAAGGGACAAUCACAGCCAAAGAAUGAAGCACACUUACCUUGCGUUUGAAAGGUACAGAUAUCUUUUCACAAAUUUUUUUAUUGUUUCAGCAUCAAUUUAAAAGUUAAACUUUGAAAGAAAGAUGAAUUCUAUCUUAGAGAAGUUUGCAGUUAUUUUUAGCUCAGAAUGCUAUUUGGAUUUCCCACAUUUUUUAUGCUGGCACAGUUUAGAAAGUUUGUGCAGUGAUUUACUUCGGGGAGUAUACAGAUACAGCGUUCUUACAACAGAGCCUAUAGCUGUCUCUUCUAAAUAUGGAAUAUUUGGCUCCACAAUGCCCACUGCUUAUUCCUACCCUCCUCAUUUUAUCUGUUCUGUUGGUGAUAAUGUGGGUUCCCUGCCCUGUCGAUGUUUGUGGGGUUUUAUUAUGCAGUAUUCAAUUUGUACAAAAUAAUCUUUGUAACAUGUAUAGGUUAUAGAGCAUAUCAUUUUCGAGCUACAAUAUUGUCAAUACAUCGCAUCUUCUUUCUCCCAUGACCAUCUCUUUCUUUCCCACCAAGUAAUAACCAUCCUACAUUUUAUGAAUUUCAUAACCUUUCUACCUUUAAAUUCUUCAUAAAAGAUCACAUAUGUAUGUAUUCUUUAAAAUCUUGCUGGGACUUCCCUGGAGAUCCAGUGGUUAAGACUUCGCCCUCCGGGGCUUCCCUGGUGGUGCAGUGGUUGAGAGUCCGCCUGCCGAUGCAGGGGAUGCUGGUUCGUGCCCCGGUCUGGGAAGGUCCCACAUGUCGCGGAGCGGCUGGGCCCAUGAGCCAUGGCCGCUGAGCCUGCGCGUCCGGGGCCUGUGCUCCACAACGCGAGAGGCCACAACAGUGAGAGGCCCACGUACCAG
rnacentral:lncRNA from 1 species